rnacentral:rRNA from 1 species
GACGAACGCUGGCGGCGUGCUUAACACAUGCAAGUCGAACGGAAAGGCCCUGCUUUUGUGGGGUGCUCGAGUGGCGAACGGGUGAGUAACACGUGAGUAACCUGCCCUUGACUUUGGGAUAACUUCAGGAAACUGGGGCUAAUACCGGAUAGGAGCUCCUGCUGCAUGGUGGGGGUUGGAAAGUUUCGGCGGUUGUGGAUGGACUCGCGGCUUAUCAGCUUGUUGGUGGGGUAGUGGCUUACCAAGGCUUUGACGGGUAGCCGGCCUGAGAGGGUGACCGGCGACAUUGGGACUGAGAUACGGCGCAGACUCCUACGGGAGGCAGCAGUGGGGAGUAUUGCACAAUGGGCGGGAGCCUGAUGCAGCAGCGCCGCGUGCGGGAUAAAGGCCUUCGGGUUGUAAACCGCUUUCGCCUGUGACGAAGCGUGAGUGACGGUAAUGGGUAAAGAAGCACCGGCUAACUACGUG